AGAGUUUGAUCCUGGCUCAGGAUGAACGCUAGCGGUGUGCUUAACACAUGCAAGUCGUACGAAAAAGAAAUUUUUAGUGGCGAACGGGUGAGUAACACGUGAGAAUUUGCCUUUAGGAAGAGGAUAACAGUUAGAAAUGAUUGCUAAAACUCUAUAUGACAGCAGUUGAAAAAAGCAAUUUGCCUAAAGAGAAGCUCGCGUCUGAUUAGCUAGUUGGUAGGUUAAAGGCCUACCAAGGCGACGAUCAGUAGCUGGUCUGAGAGGAUGAUCAGCCACACUGGAACUGAGACACGGUCCAGACUCUUACGAGAGGCAGCAGUGAGGAAUUUUCUGCAAUGGGCGAAAGCCUGACAGAGCAACAGCGCGUGAGGGAUGACGGCCUAUGGGUUGUAAACCUCUUUUCUCAAGGAGGAAGAUCUGACGUACUGAGAAUA
rnacentral:rRNA from 1 species